GGCCCGUUGGUCUAGCGGUUAGGACGCCUCCCUUUCACGGAGGAGACCAGGGGUUCGAUCCCCCUACGGGCUA
rnacentral:tRNA from 1 species